AUGCUUCCUUCCCCAGACCACAGCAAGAAUUCCCAGGCUCCAGGGCCUCAACUCUCAAGCACCAUUCCAACAGCAAAGGACCCAGAGGACACCUGUGGUGAGGCCGACCCUCUCUCCACAAACCCUCCAGCCCUGUGCAUGAGAGAUAAGCAGGCAAAUGCCACGCAGUUGAUCAGGAGGACCAGGAUGGCCAGGCAGAAGAUGCAGAGCAGGGCAUACAUGCUGAUCUCCAAGUCCGUCAAGCCCCUGGAGGCCACUGUAAGCUCACUAGGGUUACUGAAUUCUGGAAACUUCCCCUGGGUGGGGAAGCUGGUGAAGGCGUCUGCACCACCACUCUUGAGCAGCUUCUUGUCCUUCCCCUCCCCAGAUAGCAGCAGGGAUGUGCUCUUGUUGGUCCUGUCCUCUGGGCAAUCAUGCUGGAGCCACUCCUGGACCGCUCACUUCUGGCUCUCUUCCGGCUCUAUGGAGUUACUCAGGUGAUCUUUGUAUUCCUGGUUCACGCCCUCAAUGUCAUUGCUGCCUCCUCGAUGCUCCUCGAUGCCCAGUGCAAACCUGACCUUGAUGCUUCCUUUACCCAAAGCAAGAACACUGUUCCUCUUGGUCUUCUGGCAAGGCUCACUAAUCAUCAUCUCCAACUUGAUGAAGGGCCCUUGUCCUUCGCCCUCUGCAACCACAACUGGCCACUGGGACUGUAGGUUUGGCUGAACAGAUACCACCAUUUUAUCCAAUGAUGAGACAGUUAUGGAAAAAUCCUUUGGAUCAUAAAUGUCUAAGUGUUACUUACUGAAUUGAACAAAAUUAAAAGAAAAAAACCCAAAAUAUUUGUUGUGAUAACUCUUCUUCACAUUUGCAAAUUUUUAUCACAGAAAUGUUAAUUCCCAAACAUUCUUUAAGUGUAUAUA
rnacentral:lncRNA from 1 species